CAUGCUGUAUUCCAAUGGCUGCCACAUGCUCACAGAUUGUAUUAGGCAUCAGACUGGUCACUGCUUUAAGAGGGAAGUUCUUUCAAGGUGGCUGGCUGCUACUGCAUCUGUCCUGGUGCCUUGGACUGCCGUGGACCCUGCCCUUACUAUGUUCUGCUGUGCCACAGUGGCCAUCCUAAUGUGUCAUUGGGAUUCUGUUUUCCAUUUCUGUAAUGAUUAGUCAACAUCUCUUAAUUAUACCUGAAUGAGGCUUCGUUAUAUGCUCUUCUGAAGAAAAAAUGGC